rnacentral:lncRNA from 1 species
UGUGUGUGUGAGGGUAAGAGUGUGUUGCACUAUGUCCCCGUGUGUGUGUGUGUGACUGUGUUUGUGUGUGAGUGUGAGUGUGUGUGUGUGUGUGAGUGUAAAAACGGAGUGUGUGUGUGAGUGUAUGAGUGUGUUGCACUCUGUCCCCGUGUGUGUGUGUGUGUGUGAGUGUAAAAACGGAGUGUGUGUGUGAAUGUAUGAGUGUGUUGCACUCUGUCCCCGUGUGUGUGUGUGUGUGACUGUGUUUGUGUGUGUGACUGUGUGUGUGUGUGUGUGUGAGUAUAAAAACGGAGUGUGUGUGUGAGGGUAAGAGUGUGUUGCAUUCUGUCCCUGUGUGUGUGUGUGUGUGACUGUGUUUGUGUGUGAGUGUGAGUGUGUGUGUGUGUGUGUGACUGUAAAAACGGAGUGUGUGUGUGAGUGUAUGAGUGUGUUGCACUCUGUCCCCGUGUGUGUGUGUGUAUGUGACUGUGUUUGUGUGUGAGUGUGAGUGUGAGUGUGUUUGUGUCUGUGUGUGUGUGUCUAAUUUCUGUGUGUGUGUGUGUGUGUGUAUUCUGCACUGGAAGUGUGUGUGUGUGUGCUCUGUAAGUGUGUGUGUGUAUUUAGUUUAUAACCAUGAUAUUACAAUGUGAAUGUUUUGUAUGCUGAACUGCAAUAUUCUGUGGUUGUUGGUUGCAGAGAAGAGGAGCAUAAACGGAAGGAUAAGGCUAAGACUACCGCUUCACAGGUGUCAUUUAAUUUCCCUUUUAACAUGCAAUGCCUAGCAAUUGUGACUUGACUGGUUUUUUUCUUUUUGUUGAUCCAACAUUAAUUGUGACUUGGCUGUUUAUUUUUUGGGCUGUUAAUGCAGUUACUUUUUUCAGAAUUCUUUGUAUACCGUUUAUUUUGAUCUAGUUCAUUUCGAAUCAUAAUCACUUCAUUUCCAUCACCCUUAAUAACAGUAAAUAUUACAUAUAUAAUGUCCUUAUUUAAUUUUCCUUUUUUUUUUGUUUGGAUAGAUAUGGAUCGAAGGAAGCUUUUAUUGAUCUUAUUGUUAGAGAUGUCUCAUUUAGAGACAAUUUGCAUUUGUACGAUUCUUGUGGUGAUGAUGCUAAGGGCCAAACAGAGACAUGUUGAACGACCCACUUUGACUAAUCGUUCACUUGUUAGACGAGAGAUUAGUUUGUGUUAUCUGAAUGGUAUAAUAGGGAAUACUGAUAUUGAAUGUGUCAACGAAUUGAGAAUUGAUAGAAGGACUUUUGCCAUAUUAUGUGACUUACUUCGUCAAGAUGGGAGGGUAAAAACUGAUGGUUUGGUGUCUGUAGAGGAGCAGGUGUGUAUGACUUUACAAAUACUAGCACAUCAUACUAAGAAUCGUAGUAUUGGCGGUAGAUUUUAUAGGUCGGGAGAGACUAUAAGUAGGUAUUUCAAUAGCGUAUUGCAAGGAAUUUUGCGAUUACAAGGUAUCCUACUAAAAGUCCCUCAGCAUGUGCCUAUUGAUUCUACAGAUCCUAGGUGGCGAUGUUUUAAGGUAUGAUAAUUUUUUUUCAUUUUCCCUAAGCUUUAAUUCUUCAUUCCCUUUGUAUAAAUUAACAAAAGCUUAAUUUUUUUUUUUUUUUAGAAUUGCUUGGGAGCAAUAGAUGGAAACACACAUUGAUGUGCAUGUACAUGAAAUUGACAAACCAAGAUACCGAACAAGAAAGGGUCGAGUCGCAACUAAUGUGUUAGGUGUGUGUUCAGGCGAUAUGCAGUUCAUAUAUGUGUUUCCGGGUUGGGAGGGUUCCGCAUCAGACUCUAGAGUGCUACAUGAUGCAAUUACUAGGCCUAAUGGUUUUAAGGUACCAACGGGUAAGAGUAUUAGUUAGUCUCAACUUUGUAAGUUAGGUCUAGUUUUGUUUGUCAACUACAAAACACUAAUAACAUUUUUUUUUAUUAGGUUAUUAUUACCUUGUAGAUGGUGGUUAUACAAAUGGUGAAGGAUUCCUUGCACCCUAUAGAGGAAUACCUUAUCAUUUAUCUGAAUGAGAGGGACGAACGCCUUCUAAUAAGGAAGAGUAUUUUAACAUGAAGCAUUCUAAGGCAAGGAAUGUAAUUGAACGUUGUUUUGGCUUGCUAAAAGGAAGGUGGUCGAUACUAAGAAGUCCAUCUUUCUAUCCGAUAAGGACACAAGGUCGAAUAAUUACUGCUUGUUGCCUACUACACAUCUUAUUAGGCAAGAGAUGUCUGUAGAUCCACUGGAAAAUUUGCCAAUAAUACAAGAUGGACAAAAUACAGAAGAAGGUGAAUAUGUUGGUAGUGUUGAAACAUCUGACCAGUGGACUGCAAAGAGGAAUGUCAUGGCUCAGGAAAUGUAUAAUGAGUGGAGAGCAAUUAGGAACCAGCAACCGAACUAGCUAUAUAUGUUAAUGAUAACAUUUUAUUUUAGUAUUCCUUUUUAUCAUGCAUUUGUUGGAUAUUAGCAUAAUUAUUAGAUUGCUCAUCAGUGAAUGUUAAAAACUUUUUUAAUUGAUUGGAUGGUAUGCAAAUUAUUUGGAUAUUAUGCAAAUUAAUUGGAUAUUAUGCAAAUUGAUUAUUUGUAUUGUAUUUUAGUACAUUCAAAUAUUUUUUGUUUAGGUAUGGAUAAGGACAAUAUUUUGAAUGCUACUCAAGAGCCAAAAGGAAGAAGGCGUAAAUGGGAAGCAUUUGAGGAAGAAGUAUUACUAUCCGUUCUUGAGGAUUUUGUUGCUCGGAAGCAACGGUGUGACACCGGUGCUUUCAAACAAGGUACUUUGAUUGAAAUAGCGAAAGCUGUCAAUAUUUUAUGUCCUCAUUCCAAUAUAAAGGCAACUCCACAUAUUGAGUCAAAGUUGAAGAAAUGGAAAAAAACAUAUAGUAUGGUCGUUGACAUGAUAAACACAAGUGGAUUUGCAUGGAAUGAUGUCAAAAAGUGCGUUGAAGUUGAGAGUGAUGACGCAUGGCAAACUUAUGUGCAGGUUCAUAUCCUAUUUUAUUUAUACAUUAGUUUUGUUCUUGCUGCUUUAUUUGUUACACAUGCUCAAUUUUAGUUUUGCUAUGUUGAUAUAAUCUUAGAAAAAUAAAGAAGCCGAUGGAUGGAGAAGCAAACAUUUUCCACUGUAUGAUCGAUUCGCAUAUAUAUUUGGAAAAGAUCGGGCUACGGGUAAUGUAGCCGAAACCCCUGCUGAAAUGGUGGAGGAACAAAGUCAUGAUCAAGUUGGUGCAAGUGAUAUUGGAGGUGAAAAUUUUGUUUCUUCAAUGAACGAACAAAGCCAACAAAGCAUCCCAUCUGAAAAUAACCAACGAAAGAGGAAAAGAGGUGUGGGAAGCUCAAGUGAUGGAACCGAGGCAAUUAUCAGUGGACUGAAAGAAUUUUAUGUUGAAAGUGGGAAGAGGAUGCAAAUGGUAACUGAAGCUUUAGUUCAAGGUACUGCAGAUCAUAGUGACAUAGCUAACGAACUUGAAGAAAUUGGUCUUUCUCCUAUGGAUCAAAUUGAUGCAUUGUCUCUUAUUUUGGAUAAACAACAAAAUGUGGGAGUGUUCAGGGCAAUCAAACCGGAACUCAAGAAAGUGUUUGUCCAGGCUUUUAAGCGACAAAGCAAGCAGAUGAGUAUAUUAUGUGGUGUCUUUUGAUAUGAAUGUAUUUUAUUAAUCGUACAAUCUUAUGUUAUGACUUAUAACUUAGCUUUCCACUAUGAAGUAUUUUGGCUAAUGUUAACUAGGAGUUUGCAAAUUAUGAAGAUCUACUUUUGAAUGGUAUACUAUAGUUCACUGGAUUUUGUAAAUUAUGGAGAUCUUCUUAUGUACUUGCUCUUGCUUGUUAAUCUAGUCAGCUAUGAAUUAUGCCACAUGGAAAAAGAGACGGCCCCUUAUAGCCUGUUUAAUUACCAUGCUUUUCUAUUUUCUUUUCUUUUGAGCAAGGUUUGUUGGGUACACUUGGAGGAUUCUUGAAACCAAAGUAUUAGUACUCACGUUUCCCCUUCCUUCAAAACCCUACCACCAUUGGAUCCUAGUCAUCUUCACCCAACAGAGAACCAGAACACCAUAUAUCAUGCACGUGAAGAACUUAAGCGACAUUUUCCAUGGCAAUUUUACUUGCUUCAGACAAAUAUCUAAUAUGAGUUCCGUUUUCUUAAACUCUAUAAUCCAAGAAAACUAUCAUUAGUUAAUGUUCGAUUUUAUUGCAUAAAGUUUAGGAUUACUCUAUUACACAAGUAUCUUCUCAUGACAUUUGUAGCAUUACUUUAUUACACAAUGGCAAAAAUUUGUAGUUCUAGUGUAAGCAAACACAAAUCUGAUGAACAGCACUGUUUUUAUUAUCCCUGCUUCUUAGUCCGACACUGCACCAAACGCUUCACUAAGUUAGUCCAGCUUAGUCUAGUCUAAGCCAGUCCAGCUUAGUCCCUGCAGCUAGUCCAGUCCGAGACAGUCCGGCGCAACAAACGCUCCCUAAGUUCUUUCUUUGAGUUAUGCCUAAAAUUUAUUUCUACGCUCUCACAUAAGCAAUAUGACCAUUUUUCCAGAAAAGAAUGAACAGGUUUUUCCGUAAAAGUUUGAAAACUCAACAUGAAACUCCAUCACUUCAAUAUUAUAUACAUACAACUACAAGACUUAAACCCUUUUGCCCUCGAGUUAGUUUGGGUGAUACUUAUGUCAUUUUGUCUUUGCUUUAAUGAAAAGCCAUUUCGACUAAAAGAAAGAUUGAAGAAUUAUAUAGGUUACUAAUAUGAAAAUUGAAAAGAAAACUAGAGGAAACAAGUUUGUAAAGACAAAUAUGCAGGUUUGAUGUGGGGUGUGUAUGUGAGGAGUUUAGGGUGUGAGGAUAGCUUGGGAAAGAAUGCAGGGUUUAUUAAGAUAUUUUUUAAUUUAAAAUAUAAAUAUAGAGUGUUUUUAGUAAUCAACAAAAUAUGAGACACCAAUAAAACAACCCCUUAAAAAUUACAUGUUAGUAAAAACGUUAUCUAAAUAAAUAUUUUAUAUGCUUAUAGUCAAAAUACUUUCGAGUAUUCUGACAAAAAAAAAACACUUCUAACAAAAGCAUUUUAGAGUAUAAAUACGUUUUACAAAAGCAGUCAAAAUACUUAAAUCUCAACAAAUAAAAAUAAAAAACAGCUAAUGAAAGUAAAAUCAUAUUGUAUACUAUAUUUUUCUAUAUUGUCUCCACUACAAUUCACAACCCCAUUAUUCUUUCUCCCAAAACCAAACCAAAGUUUCCUCCUUUUCUCUCUAUCUCUCUCCUCACUCUCUCUCUCUCUAGGCAACCAUGCCUAUUCUCACAGAGAGCUCAACAGCAGGAGCAGAGCACAUGAAAUGGAGAAGACCCAGAACCCAAUUCACCCAACCCAUUUCAGAAACGGAUCCAGCCACCUCCCUCCUCCAAUCCACCCGCUGUAAACCCACCAUCUCCUCCCUCCUCCUCUCCAGCUUCACCACCACCACAACCACCGACAACAACGAAGCCUUACCUUCAAGCCUUACGAUGAAGAAAAAGACAAACUUUCCCUCGUCGACGUUCCGAGGCCUGGGCUGCGCCGCAUCCGCCUCGCAGCAAGUCUCGGUGCCGGAGGUGAUUCGGAACUCCGCUGAUUGGAAGGGAAAGAAGGUGAAGAAGAAAAAGCAGAAGAAGAGCGCCGCCGCCAAGGGCAGCGCAAGCAAUGAGAAGAAUGAAUACAGGGAUGUCGGUGAUGGUGGGCCCACCUUCGGUAUAAAUUCUGCAACAUGUAUGGAUUUUCAGGAUGUUUGGUGCGGCCCCGGAAUUGGGUUAUCGGCGGAAACUGCCGGCUCGGUGGAUUGCGUGGUGGCGAGGAGGAAUGUCUCCGGCAGAGGCAGGAUUGCUGCGGACAAUAAUAAGAUGAGCAGCCACAGGGAGGUAAACAAAAUGGUUUUUACUUUUGCUGUUAAUGUGGUCAUUUAAUGCUUUUAAUUUAUACAAUUUCUAUGGGAUAAGAAUUUCUUCCUUUUUUUUUUCUCUCUCAUUUCCUUCCUUCAAUUUCCUUCCGAAGGUUAAGUUAAAACACGUUAAUAUUUUAUAUUAAUUUUUUAUAAAAAGACAAAAUUCUCAUUAAUAUCUUAUAUUAAUUUUUUAUAAGAUAACAAAAUACCCGUCGACAUCUUAUAUUAAUUUUGUAUAAAGAGAUAAAAUAGAGAAGUUGAGAAGAGAAGAUAGAAGGGGAUAGAAAAAAAAGGUGGGAAAAUCCUAGUCCAUUUCUAUGUGCACAAGCCGUAUACUCUGAUGAAUUAUGUAUCAUAAUACGAUUGGUUGAAUGUAUUUUUUUUUUAACUUUUCAACCGAUUAUAUUAUUAUAUUUUACAUACCGUGCUAUGUUUCGGGCACACCGAAAUCUCUCUUUCAUGAAUUGGGAUUGCUAGUUUUUUCCAUUUUUUUAUUGGGGAUUGCUAGUUUUUUCCGUUUUUUAAUUGGAGUGGUAUCGUAAUCCAAUCAAAACUAUGAGGGGAUUUGAACUUGGGUAUUUUGUUACUGGUCAAUAUUUUAAACUGCUCUAACUUACUUAAGGAAGGAGAGGGAGGGGGAUUUGUUUGGGUCUGAAGGCACGGAUAUACUGCCUUAGUCAACUAACUUGACCUCAACUAAUAGCUUUUAAGGCUAUUAUGAUGGUCUCUGAUUAUACUUUAGGAUUUUAUUUAAGGAAACUAACGAAAAAUCAUUUUUAAAGGUAAAAUGAAUGGUACAAGAGAAAUGUAUAAAUGUGGUUUUUCGUUAAAAAUGAACAGUAUCAAUAGGGUUUUGUUAAAACUCCAUUUUAUUUAAAGCUGAUUUUCUGUAAAUUUUGAGCUUCACAGGAUUAUUAUCUCAUUAAUUUUCCUCAAUUUUUUUUGGGUAAAGCUAGGACCUUUUGAUCUGUUUGGUUUUCUCAUUUUUCUUGGGCACUUAAGAGUUGCCUUGAAUUUACAAUUUGAUUAGGAUCCGGCCCAAUUUAUAAUCCCACACUAAACGGGAUAUAUAAUUAUGAUUAGACAGUGUUAAUCUUCUCAGCUUUCGUAUUAGGGUAGGACUUUUCUUUGUUUUUCUCUAAAUACUGAAGUUAAUCUUAAUACCAACUUAAUUUUCUGCUUGUAUUAUGUGUUCAUUCUUGUUUCAUAUCUAAUUUGUUUGGUUGAUUAAUCUUGUUGGCAGCGUCCUUGUUUAGCAAGGCGAAACGUGAGCCCGGAAACCCUCUCGUUUCUGGAUUCCGAACCGGAUUUUGUCUCGAGCCGCCGUGAAACGGAGGUGUUUGGAAGUAGGUGUUUUCGGCAUGUCCGGCAUCCAUCCCCCGAAGACCUUGCAGAGGUAUAUCUUUCUUUUGUUCAAUAUGUCUCACCUGGUUUGGUGCUAAAAUUUGGUUUGGCAAGCAAUGUAAUCAACUUGCAGCUUUGAUGGCGGAAUCAUAUUCGAUUCACCGAUGUAGUAUUGCUGCAUAUCUUGAUUUUUAUUAGUCUUAAUAAGGAAUUUUUGUAAAGAGCAGAUUAACGUUCGAUAUGUUUCACGGUUUGAUGAUUGCAGAUUAUGCUGUUUCAAAGUAGUCUUAUGAUGGGUGGAAGACUUGAUAGAUUUCGUGACUGGAGACUCGAUGUCGAUAGCAUGUCGUAUGAGGUUACUUUUCGCAAACUAAAUCUGUCUCUUUUUUCUCGAAACCUGAUUGCGUUUUUGGUUACCUAAAUUUUGUAACGUGUGCAUUUCUUCAUUUUUUGCGGAUAACAGCAACUGCUUGAGUUGGGUGAGAGAAUUGGUUACGUGAGUACUGGAUUAAAAGAAGAUGAAAUUAACCGCUGCCUUCGGAAGAUUAAGCUUCCAAUGUCAAGUGACGCGUCGCCACAUUCAUCUGGGAAAGGAGAUAGCAAAUGCAUCAUUUGUCAGGUGAGUUUGUAAAACCCUGGCGAUCGUUUCUGAGAAAUUUUUAUAUCCGGUUUUUUCAUUUUCUUAAUCCGUAAUUACUCAACGCUUGUAUAGGAGGAGUACGAAGCAGAUGACGAGAUGGGCAAGCUGCCCUGCGGACACAACUUCCACCUACAAUGUAUAAAACAGUGGCUUGCACAGAAGAAUACUUGCCCAUUUUGCAAGGUCGAAGCAUUAUCUAGAUGCUAGUGCCGGUGAACUCUCCGUAUCCCCGUUCGGUGGUGGCGUUUUUUGGUCGCUGUUAUUCCCGUCGUGUAUAGAUUUCGUCUCCUUCGAUACACGGGCAAGUAUUCAUUCUUUGGUUUGAAUUUGGAGUUUCAGUGUUAUGAAAUUGAACAGUGGUCAUUACAAUCUCAAAAUAUAGUUACACUCUGUUAAUGUGGCUUUUCCUGCCUUAUAUGACUUCAUCGAUUGCUUGAGUUUUCAAAUGAUGUUGCUGUUGAGUGAACACUUCUGUUUAUCCGAUUUGUCGGGUCGGGUCGAACGGAAUAUUUGACGGCGUAAAGCAUUUCCCAGAAGAAUGAUAAUCUGGGCAUUGGUUAUGUACAAUAAGAAUGGGAAGCUUCCUUUCAUGUUUGACGGGGAAGUUCGUGCUUUCUUCCUCUUAGCAAUGUGCUAAGUAUUUCAUUAGUCCAAUAUUAGUUUAACGGCCUGUUUGGAUUGUCUAUGGAUGAGUUGAAGUGCUUUUUCAUAACUAAAAGUGCUUCUAACUACGUCUGCUUAGAAAAUUGAAAAGCAUUUGUUGAUGCACAAAACCGGAUGGUUUUGGUACAACGUAAAUCCGACCGUGAAUCUGCACAAACGCUCAAGAACACGAAGAACACAAGGAUUUUAUCGUGGUUCACCCCAAGGUUUGGGCUACGUCCACACUGAUUGUAUUGUAUUUCUCUGUUGAAGAGGGAGAGAGAGCUUAGAGCUUAGGGGGUGUGAGGAAGCUUUGAGAGGGGGUGAGAGGCUUCAGAAAUGGCCUCUGAGAGUGAGAGUCAGGCCUCUCCCAAUUGUGAGGGUGAGGAGGCCCUUUUAUAGAAUAAGGGCUCAUCACCUAAUUACAUAUUUGCCCCUUCUUUUAUCCCAUAAUUACAUUUAAGUCCCCCAAGUAUUUGUACGAGAUCUAAAUACGAGGCCCUAAAUAUGGUAUAAACAGUAGUCCCCCAAGUCUUCAGUCAAGAGAGUCUUUUGGCUGGAGACUUGAAAUUCAGUCCAUGUGUGGGCCGAAGUAACUAGAUGUCGUCCUGAACUGGUACUUGAUAUGAGGCGGUGCUCAAAGUGAAAUGAUGCUCAACUAUAAGUAGCACAUGCUGCGAGGCCGCUUUGCUUGUAGCUUGAGUUGCCUUGGUUGGCUCGGCUUGUGGUGUUGAAGGUGAGGGAGUCCCUUUUAUAGGAUAAGGGCUCACUCCUCAAUACAUAAGUGAUGGGCUAGAGUCCCCCAAGUAUUUUUCAUGAGUGCUCUCUAAAAGUGAAGGAGUCCCUUUUAUAGAAUAAGGGCUCGCUCCUCAAUACAUAAGUGAUGGGCUAGAGUUGAUGCUCGCGGCGAGGCGGUUGCUCAGCUGGCGGCGUUUCUCUCUAAUGAAGGUGAGGGAGUCCCUUUUUAUAGAAUAAGGGCUCACUCCUCAAUACAUAAGUGAUGGGCUAGAGUCCCCCAAGUAUUUUUUAUGAGGGCUCUCUUGAGGCCCAAUAUAUGGUACAUAAUGUAGUCCCCCAAGUCUUCGGUCAAUAGAGUCUGUUGGCUGAAGACUUCAAAUUGGAAUCCAUGUAUGGGCCGAAGUGGCGGUUGUUAGGAGGCGAUAUUUGUAUACCUUGCACUGAAGCUUUGUAGGUGAAGCUUUGUAGGUGAAGCUUUGCAAGUGAAGCUUUGAAGCUAGAGCUCUGUAAAUGAAGCUUUUAAAGCUAGAGCGUUUGUAAAUGAAGCUUUUGAAGCUAGAGCUCUGUAAAUGAAGCUUUUGAAGCUAGAGCUCUGUAAAUGAAGUUUUUGAAGCUAGAGCUCUUGUAAAUGAAGCUUUUGAAGCUGAUUGACAUGAGUGAUGCUCAUGAAUGUUUAUGUUGAUUGACAUGAGUGAUGCUCAUGGAUGUUGUCAUGAGUGAUGCUUAUGAAUGUUUAACAUGAGUGAUGCUUAUGAAUGUUGACAUGAAUGAUGGUCAUGAAUGUUUAUGUAUGAUUAUCAUGAGUGAUGCUCAUGAAUGUUUAUGUAUGAAUGACAUGAGUAGUGCUUAUGUAUAAUUUGGAGUACUAGGCGUACUUUUAAUCACCUAGUUGGUGCUAUUUUGGGCUUAUGGGCCUUCGCUCUCCACAACAUGCCAGCCCAUUUAUUUUGGGCUUUUCCUUUUUUUUUUUUUUUUUUUUUUUUUUUUUUUUUUUUUUGACUCUCUGAUGGGGUUUAUAUAUAUUACCCUCUGAUGGGGUUUAUACAGAUGUUUCCGAAAGAUAAUAAAAAUAAAUUACAUCAUUCGGGUGAGGUGUUUAUUCCUUGCUUUUGCAGUGUUUUUCUGCUCUGCCUUAACUUUCUACCGCACUCUCUGUCUUUUGCUUUCUUCUUUGUGAGCACAUGACCCCUCCAUGACUGCACCACUUUUUUCUUUUUCUUUUGCAUUGUCUCCCAUGUGCUCUCGAGGAGGGCCUCCAUUUUCUUUUUUUUCUUUUUCUUUUGCACCUCUGUCUCCAUGUGCUCUCGAGGAGAGCCUCCAUUUUCUUUUUUUUCUUUUUCUUUUUCUUUUGCUUUCUUAGUGACAUGAUGGCUGGAUUGCUUCACACUGGUGUGCAAUUGGCGCAUGCCAUCUCCACAAACUUCUUCAGACCCUUUCCUCCUUUUCCUUUUUCUUUUCUACUUUUGUUCCCACUGCUUUUUGUUUUUUUGCUUUCUCUUUUCUUUUGCUUUCGGCAUGCUGGGAUCUUCACUGCUUUUUUCCAGUCAGAUGUCACCAGCGGUGGAGCCAUGGACGUGGAACAGGAACUGCCGCGGAGAAAAGAUCGCACUUUCCAUUUGGUGGAGGUAUCUGGUCCUGAUCUCCAUCUCCUGGAACUUGCCUAGGAAUUGGCUCCUUUGAAUCCACAGUAUUUUUGGGAAAAAAUGGGUUUCUUUUCAGUUUCAUACCCAUUCUACUGUUCUUUUAAGACCUCACUGUUUUCUUUUCAUUUUCAUCCACGACGCGAGCGGGCGACAACUCCACACCGUUCUUUAAGACCCCACUGAUACUAGGGAAGCAAAACACAACCGUUUAACCGGACCCAGUCUGAGCACAUGCUAUCAAGUCGCGGCCAGCCAUGGCUAUCGGAAUAGCGUGGCGCUGAAUCGGCGUGGGCUUCACGUACUUGCACCGGCCAAAUCGAUCUCGACAAAUGUGUCCACCGGUGGUGGAAUGUCCUCGUCGCUCACCUCCACCGGGAUGUCUUCGUAGGCGUCGAAAUUGAUACCGCCAUUUCCAUCGCCUGCGUCCUCAAUGAUUUUGAGCUGAUCAAAUUCCUCAGAGAACCCAAAAGCAGAAAACAGGAACGUGGCGUCUUCGAUGAGGUUCUGAUCGCUAGAGAUUUGGAGGGAUCGAUGGAUGAUGAAGGCGUAGAAAGCAGCUGCGUAGAGAAUCAGAGAUCCCACCUCUCAUUUCAACAACUUCAUAGCUCUUCCAUAGAGAAAGAGAGAAAGACAGUGGCACUGUCGCAGUCCACGGCCGGGUCAGAUCCGCCGCCUAAUCACCGCAGUUGAGCAUCAUCUUAAGGACUGGAAUAUGAUCUCCACAAUGUUCUUGCUAGUAUCUUCAGGACCCAAUUCAGAAACUGCAUGUCUAACAGCCUGGUAAAGCUCCAAGUUCUCAGCUUUCAUGAAAAUCUCACCACAUUCCGGACAAAGACAGAUGCUCCCCCUCAGAGAGAGGUCUCUAGUAAAUCCAAGAACAUGAUUAACCACCAUCCCCAUUAAUUUCAUGGAGUGGAGCUUUCAUGGAUCUGCUUGAAGUCUUAUUGCUGUGGCUGAUCACCGCGUGCUUGCCAGAACUUCACACCUCCGCCAUGCUCCCGUCGCGGGCCAGCUCUCCGUUCGACGCGCUGAGAUCAACGGUCGGCGCCAAUCCGCGUGUCUCGCUGUCCUCCCCGUUGUCCUCGAUCAACAUCGCGAUGAGCUGAAUCUGGCUGGUAGUGAGCGAAACGAACCGGGAACCGAAAUGUGGAGCUUGGUGGAGAGUUUGGAGGAUUUGCUGCCGGAGUAAUGGAGGAAAACCAACUCGCCAAAUGGAAAGCCGGGAUGCUUCUUGGGGACAAAGAGAUCGAGCAAAUCCGUUGGAGGUAAUCCAGCCUCUUCGAUCUGGGUCUCAGUUCGAUGAAGACCGUAGAAGUGGGUCCCUCUUCAAUGGGACCCCCUUUCCAACGAAACCAUUUCAGCUAGCUUCUCAUUCCCAUGGAUUCACACAAAGCUUUUUACGGAUUUGGGUUUUGGAUCUUCUUUUCUGGAAAAGCCCAGUGAGGUUUUUUGGGUUUCUUGCAGAUUUUGUAGAUUCACAGUGGAGGUGAAAAUUUGAGAGAAAACCGACAUAGCUUUUCGUGUCGAUUCCCACAGACGGCGCCAAAUGUUGAUGCACAAAACCGGAUGGUUUUGGUACAACGUAAAUCCGACCGUGAAUCUGCACAAACGCUCAAGAACACGAAGAACACAAGGAUUUUAUCGUGGUUCACCCCAAGGUUUGGGCUACGUCCACACUGAUUGUAUUGUAUUUCUCUGUUGAAGAGGGAGAGAGAGCUUAGAGCUUAGGGGGUGUGAGGAAGCUUUGAGAGGGGGUGAGAGGCUUCAGAAAUGGCCUCUGAGAGUGAGAGUCAGGCCUCUCCCAAUUGUGAGGGUGAGGAGGCCCUUUUAUAGAAUAAGGGCUCAUCACCUAAUUACAUAUUUGCCCCUUCUUUUAUCCCAUAAUUACAUUUAAGUCCCCCAAGUAUUUGUACGAGAUCUAAAUACGAGGCCCUAAAUAUGGUAUAAACAGCAUUUGUUGGUUGUGCCAGCUUCUUCAAUAGAGAGAGAAAUUUGAGGUGAAAAAAUCUCGUUUACAAGUUAUACAUUUUUCCAGGUCUUUUGGCGGAUGUGGAAAACUUUAGGGCCUGUUUGUUAUCCUAUUUGAAAAUUUUAUCAUUUCUCAAAAUAUUUCUUAAAAACAUUUCUUGAAAACAAUUUUCCUUAAGACUCAAAAAUAUGAUUGGUUUGGGAUUUAAAAUUUUUAAAUCUUACGACUUAAACUAGAUAAAGAGAUUUAAAAAGUGGGGUCGCAAGAGAGGAAGAAAGAGGAGAGAGGGGAAAAGAAAGUAAGAGAUGAUUGAAGGAAAGAAAGAAGGGAGAGGAUCGGACGAGAUAGAGAGAAAGAUGCGUGAGAAAAAGAACUAAGAGACUGAAGAUAGUAGAUUGGAGGAGAGACGAAAAAGGUAAAAAAAAAAAAAAGAGGAAAGAGAAAGAAGAAAAGAGAGAGAUGUAGAUUUGGAGUGGGAAGGGAGAAGGGAAAGAAAAGAAAUAAAUAAGUUUAAUUUUAAAAACUCCAAAAACUCACUUUUUAUGUUUUUAGAGAAUAGACUAUAUUUUUUAGUUAGUCUUGAGUUCAAUUUUUGAAAAUAAUCCUACCAAACAAGUUUUUAAGGCCUAAAACUUAAAAAUUAUUUUUGAGUUUAAAAAGUUAGAUUCAAGUAGAUACCAAAUAGGGCCUUAUAUUCUUUCGUUGGAGAGUUAUUUUGUCCAAGAAAAACUGUAAAAUGCCAAUCAAUUUCAAGACAUUUUGUGCCUGUUACGACCCGUCCCUAGUUUUAGGAUAUUUUAAUUACAAAAGUGGGAAAUGAUCAAAUGCUCCUCCUUGGGUGGGUGUUGACUUUCAUUUGCAUUUUCUUGUAGUAGUUGCCGAUUCCCUCCCUUUUUUCGACACAUGCGUUAUUAGGGGAGAGAUAAAUCAAACUCGAGACCUAAGUGCAAGGGUGAAUGCUCUUAACGAGCUCAGAUAUAAAUUCCCUUGUAGUUCCCGCUCUUUAUUAAAACAAAAAAUGAUUACAUAUACAAAAUUUGCUUUAUUAAAAUUAUAGAGAGAGAAGGCACUCCAAGGGAUUACUCUUUUUCUAAUCAGACAUGAAAAUGGAGUGCCUAACAAUGUUAAGGAACAACUUGGCAAAUCAUUUAGGUAAAAGCUAAAGCUGAAGGUGAAAACAAAAGCUAGGAACUCAGCCUACUUACUGCAUUCGUCGACAAUUUCACGGCCUCGAGUUCUAUAUACGAAACAAUCAAAGCUUCCGCGUACAACAAACUAACUCGUUUUUCGUCGACCGCAAUAAUUUGAAACGGAGGAACCAGCUUUCAAGUUCUUACCUACUUCUCCCUUGUUGUUGAUAAGUUGACUAGAGAAAGAACAUGCUGUACAAUCUCUACAGAUGCAUUCGAGUUUGCAGCUUUCAGAGCCCUCUCGGACAACCCUGCCAUUUUACUCUCGUCCGCUGUAAAAAAGAAAUAAUGGUAAAUACGGAUAUUUUCAUUACAAUCGGUGAAAUACAUACACAGUUCAAAUAACUUCAUCUCCCAUUACAAAAUGAACUACAGAAACCGGAGGUGCGUAACAAGAUUUUAUAUACUAUGAAACAUCCCACAACUCCAUUACCAUUUUACUGUAAGUGUUUCAAAGAUCUGAAGUGUUUCAAAAACAUGUCCACAUGUGAGGGAUCCUAAUUAUUUCCACGGGCACUAAGUUGUUGUUGCUAUCAGCACGACCAGUGAAAACAACACUUAUUCCCUGAUUCCCACACCAGAAGAAACUACUACACUAGGCGAGAAAAUAAACAUACCUAACAUCUCUUCAAUUGUACUUCCAAGAGUCGUUGAAUCAAGUUCAUCUUCUGUUAUAACCCUUGUACCUGCUAAGUCUGCCAUUAAAGAAGCAUUUUUGAAUUGAUGACCUUCUGCAACAUUCGGUGAUGGUAUCUACAAAUCAAAAAAGCGAUUAUCAAUUUUUCCCCUUAAGCAAUACAAUUGACGUAAUUAUGGAUAUUAAGAACAAGAUCAAAACCGAUAAAAAGGAAAAAUCAAUGACUGUUAAUUUGAUCUUAUAUCAUGAAGGUCAGACAAUCCAGCAAUAAAGGACAUCCGACUCCAAUGUUUUAUUAGAGAACUUGAAAAAAGUACCAGAAUGGAAGGCUUCCCAGUUGCCAAAAUCUCAUAGCAAGUCAUUGCACCAGCUCUAGAAACAAUAAGGUCCGCCGCUGCAUAUGCCAAUUCCAUCGAAUGCAGGAACCUUCAUUAUUCAGAGAUACAUCAGCUUCAAGUUUUCAACAAAAAUACGGAGACAUACAUCACGACCAAAGGUGGAAGAUAAACUAAGUCCACUACCGCUCUCGAAGUUUAACCCUCUCGGGAUGAAGAGAAAGUAAUUAGCAGGAUUCUUAAAUGUGAAUGUCACAUAAAGGAAGCAAUCUUAGCAAUAACAUUAUCUUAGUUCGUUACGAAACCCUGGUAGGAAAUUCUUUCCCAAUCUUUUGAAAUGCAGAAUCUGCCAUUACAAGUUUCAACUUUUAAGCAUAGCAGAAGCACUUACGGAGUCAAAAGCAAACGGCGAUGAUUCUUCACAAGGCUCUCCAUCUCAUUGUGAGCCUCCACUCCUGUUUGCCAUAUGAUAAACAAGUCCUCAUUCUCCAGCAGCAUCUGAUAAUACAAAUUCAGCAGAGCAAUGUUAAUAGCAUUUGCCCCCAAAGACCCGCCAAGAACCAAAAGAACCUUAGCCUUCUCCAACUCCUCAACUCCGCCGGCCUUGGGGAAAAACCGCCCCCUGGCCGCGGCUUUAGGCACUCGCUUCUUCAAAGACAGCCUCAACGGAUUCCCACAAACCACACACUUAGUCCUACCACUCGGGAAGCUAUCAAUGGUGCAAUUGAAAACUACAAACACAAUAUCUGCAAAAAAUGAGAGAACCCAAUUGGCGAUUCCCGGAACGCGGUUCUGUUCUUGGAUCACAAGCUUGGCGCCAAUCAGCUUCGCCGCCAAGCCUGUAGAGAAGGAGACGUACCCGCCGGUGCUGAUGACGAUAUGGGGGUCGAAUUCGCGCAACUUUGAGUAGCUGUGGACUACGGACCUGAUCAAAGUGUAGGGGAGGAGGAGGUUCUGGGGGGAGAAUAUUGGGCGGUGCAAUAUGGCGGUAGACACGGUGUCGAAGUCGUAGCAGGCGGAGGGUACUGCGGUGCUUUCCAUGCUGUUGGGUGCGCCUAAAAAUAGGAUUUUGGUGGAGGGCUUUGUGAGUUGGAGCUCAUCGGCUAUGGCGACGGCCGGGUAUAUGUGGCCCGCGGUGCCGCCUGCGGCGAAGACCACGCGGAGGUUGUCGACGGCGGCGCUUUGGGUUGCGAGACCCUGGUCAUUUGAUUGCUUUACGGUGAGGCAAAAGGUGAUCUUCAGCUUCAAGGUCCUGCAAUGGAAAAACACAGUUGUUAGUUAGUGUAAGAGAGAGAGAGAGAGAGAGAGAGAGAGAGAGAGAGAGAGAGAGAGAGAGAGAGAGAGAGAGAGAGAAAGAGAGAGAGUUUAGCAACCUGGAUUUUGUUAAGGAAGUGGUGGGGAGUGGGAAAGUUGGGAGCUUGGGAGGGAGAGAGAGGUGGCGGAAGGCGGCGGCGGCCAUUAAAGGUGAGGUCUUUGGAGGUUUGGGGAACGCAUUGGUGAAGGAGGAGGAGUUGCAGAGAGGUUCAGAGUUGUGUGGGUAUUUGGUCCUCCGGCUCGCCGUAUUCAAAGCAAAUGGGGGGGGGGCGACCGUUCGAAGUUAGAGCAGGUCAUCAUGAGCUCGAAUGAAAACAAGCCAGCCACCGACCUUUAUUUGUCUUUAAGCUUUUGAACAGUCAGCCACCAUUCUCUCGCGCAAACUUUCUGUUCUCAUAAAAGUGAGAUUUUUUUUUAUAGAGAAGAGACGUAACCUGAAUCAGACUAAAAUAUUUUAAAUUUACACUUACAUAUACCUCUCAUAUGUUAGAUUAUUAGACCAAGUGGUAACUGUGACGUUACAAAAUGCAUGUGUUUUAUUGAAUUCGAACCAUAUAGAAUAAAAGUCCAUGUUCAUUACAUGACUCAUGUGACCAUCCACAAAACGUGCAAAAUGAAAAAAAAAAAAAAAAAUGGAUUGAGGUCGUCACCUUUCCACAUUAUUAGCUAGUGACCUUACAUAUGGGCUGGUUUAGUAUUACUGUACUUUUUAAAAAAAACUUGUUUCUGUUGUGCUGUGAAAAUUAACAGCUAUAAAAAAAAAACAGUAAAGUGUUUGGUAACUUUUUUUUGGUAAAAGUGCUUUUAACAAAAAAAAAAAACUGCUUAAGUAUUUGGUAAACUUUUAUAUAAAAUCGCUGUGACGAUGUUAAAUGACGAAAAAGGGUAUGAUGUUAGAUGUUAUACUUUUUUUAUUCAUAAUGUAACUCUUUCUAGAAGCAUCCAAUUUUCUCUCCGCCCCCUCUUCCCUUUUCCACAUCUUCCAGACCCUUCUUCACACCUCCAACCACCCCCCAUUGUAGCACCCUUGAGACCAAGAUGAUCUCCCCAAAUUUGAUAAUUUAUUUUCUAAAUUUGGCCGGGCUCGAUUAUGUAAUUGCAACAAAAGCAUAUACAGAUUUGGUGAUAAUCAGGUUUGGAGUGUGAGGGUUCAGCGACUCAGAGUUGACGAAGCUUAAAAAUACGAAAAGGUGUGAGGGUUCAUCGACACUAAGGGCUACGGCUUCAUCACCCCAUAAGACGGAAGCAAGUAUUCACCAGUCAUCGAUCAGAUCUGACAGCUUCCACACUGUCACUGAAGGUGAGUCCAUAGCAGUAGUUUUGAAUUUGGCAAUGGUUGUGGAUUCGAGAGAAAAUACAGGAGGUGGGUUGCGUUCUUGAAGGGUGAAAAUUAAUGACCAGUGGGUUCGGAGAGGUGGUCAUGGUGUUAGUAGGGGGUAGGUGUGGUGGCUGGGGUGGUCGGGGUUGGUGGGUGGGUGGUGUUUAGCAUAGAGAAAUGAAGGACAUUACAGAGAUGGAGGACAUAGAUGGCCUUUUAGUAAAAAAGGUAGGGGUAUUAUUGGCCUUUAGAAAAUUUCAUUAAAACUUCACUGUAGCUCCGCAUGCUUCAUUUUGAAGCAGUUUUAUGCGGUUUUGAAAGGGACUUGGAUUGUCUGCCCUCUCCAUCCUAUGCCCUCCCCAUCCCCUUCUAUUUUCUGUGAUCACGGUUAAGUCAUGUCAACAUUUUAUAUUGAUUUUUUAUAGAAAUAAUAAGACAAAAAGUAAUAGGAAUAUAAAAUAUUGAUGUGACUUAAUCGUGAUCACAUAAAUAGGAGAGGAUGGGAAGAACAUGGGAUGGGGAGGGCAGACAAUCCAAGUCCUUUUGAAAACAGGAUCAGAGCAACUUCCUGAUUUUUUAUUUUUAUCACCGAGCUUCAAGAAAAAGCAGCUUUAUUUUUCAGUUACCAAACGUUUGAAGGAUCCAAAUUUUUUUAAAAAGCUGCUUUUUAAUUAAGCACCGUAAGCCAAACUGGGGCAUAAUGUUAGGAUCGUGGCUCUAGCUAAUGAUUUUUCUAUGGUGCUUCAUAGCACUGAUAAGUGCAAAGACUUGUAGAACAAUAAAAUUGUGUUUGUGCUUGAAGCGGUAGUUUGUGCACUUCGAGUGCAGGAUUUGCACUUGAAGCGGUGAUGUACUAGUCCGGAGGAAACCACCCGAAGUUUAGCAAUUUCAGAUACUUUACACUAUUAAAAUAGUAAAACUUACAUUAUUGAAAGAGUAUCCGAGACGACAAGGGUUUUUUAUAGGGAAGUUUAACGAAAAACACCUGGUACUGUUCACUUUAACGAAAAACCAUAUUUUUACACUAAAAAGUCAAUCCUGGUACUAUUCACUUUACCCUUUAUUUUGUCCUUAUCAUUAAAACUCAAAGAAGCCCUUUUCAUUAGUUUUCCUUUUUGUAUAUUUACAUAGUAUCUGAAAUGUAGGAUUCUGAUAUUUACAUUAUGGAAUUUUAGCUAAAAUGGUUUUUGAGAUUGGCUUAACUUCUCAUUCUGGUCCCUGAGAUUUGAAAUAGAUAGAAGUGAUCCUUAAGUUUGUCUACUGUCAAUUAUUUUGAUCAUUCCGUGAAAAAAAUCUAUGUUAAAUAAUGAUCAAAAUGACAAAAAUUCCUUAAUUUAAUAAACAAUGUACCAAAAUGAUUUGACAAAAAUUUGAAGGUACAUUUUGUCAUUAUUUAACGAAAUUUUUUCACAGAAUGAUAAAAAAAUGAUUGACGGGGAGCAAACUCAAACCAAUUAUAUCGAUUUCAAAUCUCAAAGAUUAAAAUGAUGAGUUAUGCUAAUAUAAAAACCAUUUUAUCUAAAAAUCCUUACAAAAUCAAAGUAAACCCUACUGAAAUAGUACUUUAACUUCAGUUAGUUAGUACUAAACUAUAUGGACAUUGUCUGAGCUAGCACUGCAUCUGACUUUUCAGAAAAUAUAGUAAAAAAGGUCAAGAAUCUGAAUCUUAGUGCAGUUAAUAGAUGCCCCUAUAUAAUAUUUCAAGUUUUAUGUUCUUUAUAAUUUACCAACGCCACCAACUUGCAUGCGUCAGUCCUGUACAUGUAUGCAUGCAUGCGCGGCGCCCAUGCCGGGGACCAUGUGGCUUUAUAUAUAUAUCUACAUGUUCUGCAUACAUUAGCAGCUGUCUAUUUAGUUGAAUUAAAAUGAAGCCCCAAAGUGAUCAUCUUUUUUGCCAAUUGUCUGGAGUGGGACUUACAUACAUUUCAAGCGGUUCAUGCUAGCGAUACACAAUGACAUGAUAUUGUACUAUUGAUGUGCGACGCUACAGUAGCAUCUGAGGGGUGUACGUAAGUCUUUCCUCAAUUGCCAUGCUAGCCCGACUGUUUCGUGCUAAUGAUACAAUGCUAUGUUGUAUUCUUGACCUGAGACGUCACAGUCGUGUUCGAUGGGUGUAUGUAAGUCCGUCCCAUUUGAGGAGAGAAGCCCCUUUUACAAGUAGUCACGGACAUGAAUCUCAUUAUUCAUACAACAUAGGGCAGCAGUUCUAAUAUAUAACCCCUAAAACUAAGACAGAAGAAGAAAAUCUAUUCCCUUUAUUAUAUCAUAUUCUAUGCAUACGAGCAAAGUCUAUGAUAAUAUAGCCAUCAAUUAAAGGAAAGAAGAGCAACUCAAAUAUGAAAUUAAGGUAAUUCAUGCCUAAUGACUUAUGGUUGUGUGGUUCUGAUCUGCUGAGUAUGCCGGUAGCUGCUGUUUCGAAUCUUCUGACAGUGCCACUGCUGCGGCCGCUGCUGCAGGAGUCAUAGACUGGUAUUGAGGAGGCAAUGGGGCGGCCUGAUGCUGUGUGUAGAACGCUUGUUCAUGCUGAGGAUUGGCGUAUUCGUAAGCGUAGUUAGUGGUUGCAGGCGGAGGCAUGGCAGCGGACUGAGAAGGAUGGUGAUGCAUUUGAGAGAACCCCAGGUAUUGCUGCUGGUAUUGGUUAGAAGGAAGUUGGACUAAUGUUGGAGUUUGUGGCACAGCCGUUUUGUAAACACUUGCAAACAUUUCAGGCGAAGCCGCGUUUGUGGGAUACACAGGUGGGAUAUUACUGUCCUUGUAAACGGCAGAGCCAGCAUUGGGGGAUGUUAAGCCGCUUGAGGCAACCACGGUUGUGUCAGACAUGUUAGGUUGCAAAGGGAUGUUGUACGAUUGUUGUGACUGCGCAACAGGCAUCAAAUAGACUGGAUACUGCUGGUGAUCGAUUUGGUGAUGAGGUUGUUGCUGUGACGGCGGUGCAUACAUUGUGUAGUAAGAUUGUAUUGGCACUUGGCCUCCGGCAGGAUGGUGCAUGUAAUGUGUGCUGGCAUGGACAUAUUGUUGUUGUUGUUGCUGCUGCUGCUGUUGUAGUUGUUGCUGCUGCUGCUGCUGCUGCUGCAGUUGUUGUUGUUGUUGCUGCUGCUGCUGCUGAUCUGAUUGUUGAGGAAUAGCAUACCCGGAAUCCUGAACUUGCUGAACUUGGUUUUGAGAUCCCGGAUCGGAAGCAUCACUGGGUGUAUUCGGGCUAGCAGGACCUCUGAUGUUGUCCCUGUUUGCAGCUUGAAUCUGCUCUCGAUAGUACAUUGGUUUGGAGAGAGAGUUUGCGGAUGCAACGCUACUAUCACUGGACAAUGUGGACAAACAGUAUAACCCAAUUUACACAAACUAUUAUCUCCAAACUCCAAAAGCAAAAAUUAGAAAACUGCAAGCCGCUUGUAGCUCAGUUAUCCCGAUUUCCCCGAGUUCCCUAGUUCUAUUUCCCUCUUCCCAAUAUCGCUUGUAUAAAAUAAAAUCACUCAUCGAGCUCUACACCUAAAUAUAUAGAGGCACGUCUCUUCAUAGUUCAUACUUAUGGCAUUUACUUUGAAAUCGAAACUUUCGUCCAUUUUUUUUAAUAAACGAUAUUCUAAACUAUUCUAAUAUACACGAAAAAUUCAAAGUCAGCUGAAAAGUGCGGGCACACAGGCCUAACCCACAUUUGCAAAAUUAUCAUCUUUACGGAAAGCAAAUAUUUGACACACAGAGAAAGCACAUACCUUGCAACUGAAUCCGGUGAAGGCAAACUAUAACCUCCUCCUCCGCCGCCAGCCUUAUUAACUUGCAGAGGCUGCACCGGCAAUGGCAGAGGAGGCUUACGAAAUCCGACCGGUAUACUCUGAUCUGGUGAUCUCUCAUCAUCUACCCUGUUCAUAUUUUCUCCAGAAACGCCAGAAACAUUCAUCAUCUGAGCACCAGGUGGCGGCAAAGCACCCGAAUUCGACGCCUUUGGCGGCGGAGCAGCAACAGCAGCAGCAGCAUAACUAGUAGUCAUCUGAGAAAACUGCUCCUCGAUCCCAACAGUCCUCUGACCACCCUGCAUCAACCUAUCACCAGUUUCGUCCAUUCGAACCCGAAUCGGAGGCAAAUUCGACAAGCAAGUCGAUGAGGAAGACAACCCGAAAGAGGAAGUACUGUCCUCGGCGAAGGUGGACUCUUGAUUGAUCGAAUGACCAUCAUGUCCGACCACAUUAUUAACAUUUUUCAUCAAACCAUUGUUGUUGUCCUGUUUGUUGUUGCCUCCGAAGAAGUCGCCUUGCGCCUCCAAAUCAUUGCAAGAAUUCUCACUCCCCGCCAGCAAGUAAUCCAUGGUGGCGGAAUCCGACAGGUUCCUCGGAAAACCCGACCCGUUCAGCGCGUCGACGAACCAAGACUCGGACUUUGCGUCGUCGAGCAGAGCACCCAUCGAGGCGGCGGUUUCCGGCUUCGCGAAGAAGAGAAACAAUCGGAGGCGGGAAGGCUUGAGGGGGGAGGCGGAGGAGGUGCGGUCGUAUUCUUCGAACAUGUUGUCGAGAUCUUCGUCGGUGGUGACGGAGAUGAGGGAGUCGAGAUCUUCGGUGGGGAGCUGGUACUUGAGGGAGAAGGGGCGGCCGUUGAGGAGGGUUCGGGAGAGGCGGGAGCAGAGGUCAGAGAGAGAGGAGUGGCGCUCGGCAACGAACAUGCGGGUUUCUCCGCCGACGUAGCAGAGGGACUUGUCGUGCGGGCGGGGAAUGAUGUGACCACCGUAGCUGCACAUGAGGCGGAGCUUGGCGCCGGGGACUUGAGGGAGGGGGUCGUCCCAGGUGUCAGCAUUGCGGGAGCGUGGGGAGGAGUCGACGGAGUCGGGGUAGUUGAGUUGCAUGCUGGUGGCUGCCGGAAUUGCGGUGGUGGUGAUUGUGGUGGGGAGAGGCGGGAGUGGCGGUGGAUCCAUUUGGUGGUGGCUGUGGGAAAUGAAAGGUGGUGAGGCUUCGUGCUUCUUGAGGUAUGUUAAGUAUUUGUCUAUUUCACCUUUGAGUUUCUUUAGGAGAGGAUAUUAUACUCUGAUAUAAGAGGAGGGAGACAAUGUCACGAACACAUUAUUUUCAUAAAUGAGCAUGAAUGAUUAAUUUGUGAGAGAAAGAUUUGAACUCGAAGGCAACAGAUAUACAUAUUAUUCUCGGUAUCUAAGCAAAUUAAAAUGAAUAUGACUCUAAUUUAUCGGAAGAGAUGUUUAAAUUUUCACAAACAUAUUAUCUUGAUAAGUUGAUCUAAAUCACUAACGUACAAAAAAAUUUAAACAUGAAUGUAAAAAGACGAAGACACUAUUCUCUCACACUGGUCCAACUCACGUUACUUAAUUACCUUUGAGUAUUAAUUCAAUGAAAUGCUUGCACUUUCAAGUUUGAUUAAUAUGCAUCGAACAAUGAACAGAUGACAGGUCACCUCCCCUUGGGCUGAUUUGUCCACUAUGUUUUGCUUCUAACAAAAGAGAUCUCAAAGACAAAAGAAGAGCCUUUAAUUAUGUAUCAACAAUGGGAUUAAACUAAGCAGAUGGGUUUUAUCUCUGCAAUACAAGUAAUUAGUAAAUUUAGUAGAUAACAAAUCAAAAGUUAAUCAAAGUUUAAGUAAGCAAAUGAAGGUCUAGUUUGGUCAAACUCAAAUUAAAUCAGGUCAAAUCUGAAGAAAAAACAAGAAAAUGAAAUAUAUUGCUGCUAUGCCUGCGUGGAGAGAGUUGAAAUUUCGACGUGUAGCCCAUGCACUGAAGCACAUGAACUUUACAGAGAAACGGACCAAGCACAUGCACAUUCAUCGGAACUUGUGCAUGAUUUAUUCUAAGUUGGGUUUUAGAAACACGGCUUGUUAAGGAAGUAUCGGAAUACAAGUAAUUUUUACUGUGACGUUUGAUGUAUCAAAUUGUGUUUUCGUCAAAUCUCUUGCAUACUGAAUUUAUAAUUGAACUUAAUGAAAGCAAAACCCCUUUCUUUCGCUUUAAAAUGAUUUGCCCCUUUUGCUUCUCCUUCAGAUACGAGAAGGCUGUAUCGCAAUAUCAGAACACGAGAGAGCAAAUAUAGGAGAACAAUGUGGUGUGGAGUGUGGACAAUAUUAAAUCUCAAUGUAUGAAUAUAUAUGUACGUAUCAUAGGAGAGAAGCUUAUAGCAAAGAUGAUACAAUGAUGGUGCAUCAAAUUGAUAACGCACUGUUUAUGAAUGUUAAUUUUCUUAUAUAACGUCAUAUAAAAGAAAUAAAGACAAAAUCAAAGCAAAGAUCAUUUGUUACCGACCUCUCUUAACAUGAUUAACUUAAAAUAUCAAUUACAUGAUAUCAUCGAUGUAUGAAAGUUUUUUCGCUUCUUACAAGUCACUUGAUUCACUUUGACUAGUACUAGUAGCCCUUUUCUUUAUAUUGUAAUAUUUCUCUUUUGCAUGCUAAUGUGAAGAUUUGUUUGCAGUGGUGUGUCCAUUGUCCAAUGUCUUUAUUAAGCAUCCAUGUGUUGGAUACUUGGAUUACAGAAAUCAGAGGCCUUUCCAGCGUGCAAUUACUGUCAAAACUUCUAUAUUAUAAUGUUUUAAGCAAAUCUAGUACAAGGAUGUGAGCUGAGUUUUCCUAAAUAUACAAUAUAUCUUAUUUUGGUCGACAUCUUCAUGGUACCUGAAAUAAUUGAUUAUACAAGCUGGACAUGAGUUGUGUAGCAAAGCGGGUGAGAACUAUAGAGGACUUGAUAAACUCGAUGGUUUUGGAAUUUGAUUAAUCUCAAACAUUUCCCAAGGAAAAAAUUAAUAAAAUUAUAUUCAUUUAAAAGAAAUUCUCUAUGUCCAACCUAUAUAUACAAGGAAUUUUGCUAGAGAGAUGUACUGUUGGACAAAUCAAUAUAUAUAUGAACAAUCAUGUGGUAAUAUCCAACAAAAAAAUCACGUUGUAAUAAAAGUCACAAAAUUCGAAUCUCAAAUGUGACUUAGGCUAGUUGAUCAGGAUUGUGUAUCUCAUUUUGCAUUUAGGUUCGAAUUAGUGUCCCAUGAUUUAAAAUACCAGUAUUUAAUAUCAUCUGCUAUAAUUUUUAUUUGUAAACAAAAUGUCUUCAACAAUACGUUUGCCAUAUUUUCUUAACGCAUUUUUAAAGAAUAAUUUGUAGAUUAUUCAACAACAGCAAAAAGGAAAAUAAAAUUUAUAGCAAAUGAAAUAAAAUGGAGAAGGAUGAGGACUGAAGUUAUCAUUCCAACAAAGUAUUAGGAUACCUAAUUUACUUUCUAUUUUUGCCAGAGUACAACAUAGUUAUGUUCCCCAUCUAUUUAUGUAUGAUGUUUGUGCGUGAGUGCAUGUUUUACCUCACAAUUGGGCUAACUUAACUUACCUUUAGGAUUCUGUGUUGGACCAUUAAUCCUAGGUUAACCUAUACCUUUUUAAUUUCAAAGGUUCUAAGGCACACACACCACGGGGCCCCUCUCUCGCCCUUUCUUUCUGUUUGAAUCGCGCCAUUGAUGAGGGAGCCCGAGGCUUGGGGAGCUUUUCUUCUUAUCAACGGUAAUCUGUUUCUAUCUCUCUAUGUCCAAUGUAUAUUGGACAAUGUUUAUUAGGAAAAUAUGAUACGUCUUAUGAAAACUAGGGUUCAUGCAUGUCUUCAAGAAUUGGGUUGUUUAAUUUUCUAAUAUAUAUGUGUGUGUGUGUGUAUACACAAACUAGGGUUUGUGAAAAAGAAGGCUUCAUGUUCUUUGAUUAAUAAGAAUUUUAACUGGCAGUUUGAAUUGUAAUCAGAUAAUUUCCAUGAAACCCUAGAUUGAGCAUCAAAUUUCUGCCAAAAAUGGAUUGGCAUUUCAUAUGUCAUUGAUGGUUGUCACGCUAACAAGCUCGAAAAUCAUUGCUUUUGAGCAUUCUUAGUGCUCGUUUGGUGCCAAGGAUUGAUUGGACAACUUCCUAGAUUCUAGAUUCUAGAUUUCAUCUGAUUCUUCAUCAAAUGUGUCAUUUUCAGGGUACGUAUCUUUGGGAGAAAGAAAACGGUGAAGCUAAUGACUUUUGAUUCUUCAAUUGUACCUGUUCUUCAAUUCAAAUUGGUGUAACUAUACACUCCUUUCCGAAAGACCAUUUCGAAUUGGUUUCACACUCCAGUUGGAAAGAAGAUGCCCGAGAUGCAGAUAAUUUCUCACACAUUAAGAUCUCAUGGAGUCAAAGUGGCUAAAGUGCACAAGUAUGACUGGUUAAUUCUUGUACUUCUCGCGGCGGUUGAUCUAUCUUUGAAUUUUAUAGAGCCUUUUCAUCGUUUCGUUGGCGAAGAAAUGAUGACUGAUCUCAAAUACCCUUUUCAGAAAGACACCAUUCCUUUCUGGGCUGUUCCAGUAUGUAUCAGUUUCUCACCAUCUAAUAUCUUUCUACCUUACAGAGAAUACUGAAUACUUUACUAUAUCUUCACUUUCUGCGUGUAGAUUUACGCGGUACUCUUGCCUCUCUCCAUCUUUCUCGUGUACUACAUUUGCAGAAAGGAUGUUUAUGAUUUGCACCAUGCCAUAUUGGGUACUGCCUGUGUCCUUAUAGGCUUCCUGUAUACUAUAUUUUUCUUUGGAAAUGAUUUCCGCACACCCCUUUUCUUUCUGUUGGUUGAUAAUUACUUUCCAACUUAUAGGUCUUUUCUAUUCUGUUCUCAUAACUCUUGUAAUAACGGAUGCAAUCAAGGAUGCUGUUGGCCGCCCGCGUCCAAACUUCUUCUGGCGGUGCUUCCCUAAUGGAAUAGGUGUAGGUGACAAUUUUCUUUUUCUUUCGCUAACGAUUGUUGUAAGCGUAAGGGCUUGUCCCUGCAUUAUGCUGAACUGCUUUUCAAUCACGUCACAGGUAUAUGAUCCAAACACUAACAAUGCUAUCUGCACUGGAGAGAAAAAGAUUAUAAAGGAAGGACAUAAAAGCUUUCCUAGCGGGCAUACUUCAGGUAUCAUAUCAUCAAUCUCUCUUUCUGUGCGUUGUGCAUUCUUAACGCUAUGCAGUUGGAAAAGACAGUGCCUAAUUCGGUUGCGAUUGUCAAUUGUGCAGUUUCAUUUGCAGGUCUUGGUUUUCUUGCAUGGUAUUUAUCGGGGAAGAUCAAAGUGUUUGACCGUAGAGGCCAUUCCGCAAAGCUCUGCAUUGUAUUUCUGCCGUUACUCUGUGCUGCUCUCGUGGGAAUCUCUCGUGUGGAUGACUACUGGCAUCAUUGGCAGGACGUCUUUGCUGGAGGUCUUAUAGGUUUGCUACUAAAUGCAAUGAUACAAUUUUCAGUUCCUUCCACUAUAAAACAUAAUGUAGAAAGUUAACAGAUGAUAAUCCAUCUUUUGGGACGUUCGAUUUGUUUGAGCGCAGGAAUUGUCAUAGCUUCGAUUUGUUACUUGCAAUCCUUCCCUCUCCCAAACCAGCGGGAUGGUGUGUCUGCUAUCUUCUGUUAAUAUGUUCAUGUUUCAUCAACUGGUAGAAUGCUGACCUAAUUUUCAUGUCUACAUAUUUAAUCUUUUAUUUUUGAAUUUGCAGGGUGGGCACCUCAUGCGUAUUUCCUCAUGCUGGAUGCGGAGAGGAAUGUUGACGAGUCCUUAUCUCCAGCCACGAGGGUUAACUCUCUUCGUAUGCGAAGAACAGAUAUCGAGAGUCCAGGCUCAAGUCCAUAAGAUUCAAGUCCGCCAGUCCAUCAGUUACUGGAAGAAGGAUAAGAUACUGAGUUGAGUUUGUAUGUCAAAAGAAAUUGUAUAGAAGGUAUAUAUUAUACAUUUUGUAUACGUGACGCAGUACUUCAUUUGAUGACUCCAUAUCGUAUCUGUAAGCUCCUAAGUUCCUGACAUCAUCAUUAUUCAAUGAAAUGCCUUUCUUUCCAAGUUUCAUCAAAAGUCGAGAAUCUGAACUUUCUAAGGAGUUGUUUGUGAAUUGAUUUAUAAGAAGCACUUAUAUGAUAAUCAUUUUUAUUAGAUACACAUUGAAAUUUUUAUCAAACAUCUAGUUGCUUCCUGAAAAACCAAUUGAAAGAGCUUUCUGAAUAAACACUUAAUUAGCAAGUGGUUCUCUAAAAAAACAUUUUUAUGAUUCAGAAAAAUAUUGAGUUUUUCUGUUAAACAUAGUAAGAAACACUUUUACUUGAGAGAGAAAACACAUUGAACCUUUUCAAAAGCAAUCCCAAACAUCCUCGAAGUCCUGGUGCUUUUGUUCUAAAUAUUGCAAUGUAUUUUUCUUUUCAUAUAAAUCUGUGUCCUUAUUUCUUUUGGUGAAUAAAUAUGUUGGUAUUUAUUUUGACAUGUGACGUUCUUGACAAUGAGCCUAUGAGAAAAAAUUAAAAGGAAAAAAAAAUCAAAGUCAAAGAAAACAAAUAAAAAAAGUGAUAUUAAAUGGAACAGUUGGAUGUUAAUUGGUGAUUGCUGGCAACACCAAAGUCUAGCUCCAUUUGCAUAAUUUCAGUUGCUGCACUGCGUGCUCUCAUAAAUUCCUUCAAUAAUCUAAGUCCCUUACCUUAUUUGUCUGUGACAUAAAUACCUGCAUUUCAUCUUUAUCUUCAUCACAUACCAUAUAUAUGUACAUGACUAUCUAUUGCCUUGCUAUAUAGCUCUCUCUCUCUCUCUCUCUCUCUCUCUCUCUCUCUGAAAAAAAAUGCAGAUAUUUACCGCAUGCUGCGGAAACAUGAAGAGGUACAGGAGGAGAAGGCGUUACCGCAGACUAAAUGAGCAAAACGAGAUGGUUUCAAUGGGGAAACGCCUUAAGUUUGGGAAAAUUCGAGUGACCCCGAAGGUGCGAAUGAAGGUCAAAUAAUCGAUAACGCUCUUGAAAAAGUUUAGAAAUGCUUACGUGGAAAUGAUGCUUUGUUUUGCUGGUCGUGUUAUGCAGUUGAAUAAUGGUGAUGAUCACUUGUAUCAGAAGACUAAUGCUUCGCAGUUUUUAGCUCGAAAGUAAUUGUUUAUAAAGUUGUUACAGUCAAAGCUGAAGAACAAUUUGUAUCCUUUUGUAUAUGUGUACGGAAAAUAACUCAUUCUGAUUGAAAAAGUUUCUCGAUCUCUAUGACUCCGUCUUCCUUGUGAUAUUGUGAAAGGUGAAAAGGAGAACAGCGAGGAGUGCAUGAUGAAUAUUUUAAAUUUAC